rnacentral:rRNA from 1 species
UACAGAGGUCCCGAGCGUUGUUCGGAUUCACUGGGCGUAAAGGGUGCGCAGGUGGGCUGGUAAGUUCGAUGUGAAAGCCCCGGGCUUAACCCGGGAACGGCAUUGGAUACUACUGGUCUGGAGGAUUGGAGGGGGGACUGGAAUUCUUGGUGUAGCAGUGAAAUGCGUAGAUAUCAAGAGGAACACCAGUGGCGAAGGCGAGUCCCUGGACAAUUGCUGACGCUCAGGCACGAAAGCGUGGGGAGCAAAAGGG